CUUACUUUGUACUCAUCUCAGUGGCUUUGCCAGAAAUAACCAAGCAUGGUGGCAACAAAUAAGUCCAAACCUAAAAUACAACCAAUUUUCUAGAUUUUCC